CAGUCGCCACGGGAAUACGAAGGUGGCAAGCGUUGUCCGGAAUUAUUGGGCGUAAAGGGCUCGCAGGCGGUUUCUUAAGACUGAUGUGAAAGCCCCCGGCUCAACCGGGGAGGGUCAUUGGAAACUGGGAAACUUGAGUGCAGAAGAGGAGAGUGGAAUUCCACGUGUAGCGGUGAAAUGCGUAGAGAUGUGGAGGAACACCAGUGGCGAAGGCGACUCUCUGGUCUGUAACUGACGCUGAGGAGCGAAUGCGUGGGGAGCGAACAGGAUUAGAUACCCCAGUAGUCCCUGUCUCUUAUAA
rnacentral:rRNA from 1 species